GGUUGGUGUGCCAUGGAGACAACAACCAGAGUUAUGUGUGUGAAUCAGACCACUGCUGUGGAGAGUCUCAGUGCUGCAGCUACUACUAUGAGCUCUGGUGGUUCUGGUUGGUGUGGACUCUCAUCAUCAUAUUAAUGUGCUGCUGUGUGUCUCAGCACCGGCGCUACAAGCAGAGCUUCCAGCAGCAGAGGAGACAGAAUGAGAUCAACCUCAUUGUAUACAGAGAGGCCCACAACAACACACAGCACCUCCCCCUCUAUCUCAGAUUCCUGCCUGACUACAUGCUGCCAACCUAUGAGGAGGUAGUUGACAGCACUGCCACUCCUCCCCCUCCCUACAGUCCCCCUCCAGUUAGCCUCUCUGUCCACCUAACACCCUGACUGCCCUCAUCCUUCCCCCAGACCACCACCACAUACCCAGACACAACCCCCACUGCGACCCCCCGUGUUCACACAGGGGGAGCAUGGCAAUGGUUUCCCUGACAACAAUAACUCGGCGUUGGGCAGGUAACUGCGCUUUACAGGCGACUCGGCAAUCAAGAUGUGUGAUAACCAGGAACUCUGGGAGGGAGAAGGAAGACAUGCUGGGAAGGGAGGAGGAAGAAAAGAUCUGUGAUAGAUGCAGACCCCAGAUUCAGAUCCACACAGACACCAAUAUACACACAGACAUAGAGACUCAGAGUUGAUUCCCCAAACCUGUGAGUGAGAGGUGUAUGUGUGUGCCUGUGAAUGUGUCCCUCCUUAGAAGAAAGUAGCACCAUUCUUGCAUCACAAUGUGCAUUCCUCUGUAAUGCAGCCGUGCCAUAUGUAGCCGUAUCUUAAGGUGGUGAUGCACUGACCCUAAAAGCCUGGAGUCUCACUGCUGAGCCACACAAAGGCCAGUAGAUUAUAGAGUUCCUGUACAGUUCAAAUGAUGAAUUUAUGCCAUGUCGAACUGAACAGAAACUUAAAGCGGGCAGGCACGGUUGAGGGCUUUGCUGGAGGUACAAAUUGGUUUCAUAGAACCGCUUUCAACACUGCAGACUUCCUCAUUGGUUUUGGGUCGAAUUCAGGCAUAACAGCGGCCUCUUGUGUUUAUAUAUAUAUAUAUAUAAUCGUUGAUUUAUUCAGACAUGACAUAAAUGACUAAAUGAGACAUACACAGUCUAACAUCAACAUAUGGUGUAGGAAUAUACACAGCCGGAAUGAACAAAGCAAGAGAGAUGCGCCAAGAAGGAUUACAAGGUAUAUUCUUAUUUUUCAUUUUUAGAUUAGCAUGGAGCAUCAUCGUCUGACCUCAUAUUAAAGAGAGACCACGUUUAUUGCACAAAAACUCACACACAUGCAGUGUGGAGGUUAAUGUUUGAAACGGUGAAUAUGACCGGUUUAAUGUGUCUCGGUUAUUGUAAUGUGUCUUCAGAACUCCUUUUUACUAAGGAAUCACAAAGUCUUGUUACGUAGCAUUUCUGUAAUAUAUUAUAUGAUUGAAUAGCCUACGCUUUGAUUAAUACUGUGUAGCCCUAUUGUGAACUGUGUUUCUCUCUAUAGAGUAGUAGAGCAGCUCCCAGAGGCCAUGAUUGUACUUCCGAUGUGGUUUUAUUUAUUAUUAUUAUUAUUAUAUAUUUAUAUAUAACAAUAAUUCUCUAAAGAAAAGUAAAAGAACAUCGAAGUAAUAUAUAUAUAAAAACAUUCACUACACAUUAAUUGAGUUUCAAAAGUUAAAAUAAAUAGAAUAAGGUCAGGGGUUACAGUUGUAUAAACCUAUGGUAGUGUUGUAAGAAUACAAUGUUUAAAAAAGUUUUUGACUAAUUCUAGAGAUUUUAUAAAAUAUUGUAUUUCAAGUAAAAAUAUAUUGCCUUUGGGAACAGAUUUCCAAUAUGUGUUUUUGUGAAUACAACAUUUACCAGAGAGAAUGAAGAAAUUAAUGACUAAUUCAGCAGUUUUGUUUUCAUUUGAGUAAUAACAAUAACAACAUUACAUCUUUCAUUGUAGAUUCAUGGGUCUUAUUAAUGAAAUAAAGCAUGUAAUUACUUAACUCGCUCCAAAAUAACUUCACAGAGUUUCCGAUGUGGGUGUGGUAGCGAAUCAACCUUUAUCUGUAUGAGAGGCGAAUCCCAACUUGGCCAAAAAUCUGUCUUCUCCAGCAGGUUGCAAUGUUUUGUUUCUUUCACAAAAGCGAUGAGUUUUUGUAUGGAGGUCAAUG